GCUCAGGAUGAACGCUAGCUACAGGCUUAACACAUGCAAGUCGAGGGGUAGCAGGGUAGCAAUACCGCUGACGACCGGCGCACGGGUGAGUAACACGUAUCCAACCUUCCCAUAACUCAGGGAUAGCCUUUCGAAAGAAAGAUUAAUACCUGAUAGUACUUAAGAAAGGCAUCUUUUUUAAGUUAAAGAUUUAUUGGUUAUGGAUGGGGAUGCGUUCCAUUAGAUAGUUGGUGAGGUAACGGCUCACCAAGUCUUCGAUGGAUAGGGGUUCUGAGAGGAAGGUCCCCCACAUUGGUACUGAGACACGGACCAAACUCCUACGGGAGGCAGCAGUGAGGAAUAUUGGUCAAUGGGCGAGAGCCUGAACCAGCCA
rnacentral:rRNA from 1 species